rnacentral:rRNA from 1 species
UACGAACUGUGCGAACGUUAUUCGGAAUCACUGGGCUUACAGGGUGCGUAGGCGGCUUUUCAAGUCAGGUGUGAAAGCCCCCGGCUCAACCGGGGAAUUGCGCUUGAAACUGGAGAGCUCGAGUCAGCUAGAGGUGCACGGAACUUCCAGUGGAGCGGUGAAAUGUGUUGAUAUUGGAAGGAACACCGGAGGCGAAAGCGGUGCACUGGGGCUGGUCUGACGCUGAGGCACGAAAGCCAGGGGAGCGAACAGG